UGGCUUGCCAUCUCCCAGAGACUUCAGACAGUCUGCUAAGUCUGCACUUCCAUUCCUCUGGUUAAAGACCAAGAAUUCCAAACCUGAGGUUAAAAGCCUUUGCCUAAUAUCUUCUUUGAUGACUUCAGUUUUCAGGCACCUGCAAUAGUUUGAUCACAUCGUGAUGAGAAAGGGUUAGAGAAUGGAAGAAUAAUAUUUGGACUGUGACAAAAUAAUGAAAAUGCAGAGGCAGUCUUUGACUUUUACAAUGUGAGGAAGGAUUUCCCAUUUUGAUUGGGUGAUGGCAAGCUUCUCCUCUAAGAG
rnacentral:lncRNA from 1 species